GACGAACGCUGGCGGCGUGCUUAACACAUGCAAGUCGAACGGAAAGGCCCUUCGGGGUACUCGAGUGGCGAACGGGUGAGUAACACGUGGGUGAUCUGCCUCGUACUCUGGGAUAAGCCUGGGAAACUGGGUCUAAUACUGGAUAGGACCUUCUCUCGCAUGGGGGUUGGUGGAAAGCUUUUCGGUACGAGAUGGGCCCGCGGCCUAUCAGCUUGUUGGUGGGGUAAUGGCCUACCAAGGCGACGACGGGUAGCCGGCCUGAGAGGGCGACCGGCCACACUGGGACUGAGACACGUCCCAGACUCCUACGGGAGGCAGCAGUGGGGAAUAUUGCACAAUGGGCGCAAGCCUGAUGCAGCGACGCCGCGUGAGGGAUGACGGCCUUCGGGUUGUAAACCUCUUUCACCAGGGGCGAAUUUAGACGGUACCUGGAGAAGAAGCACCGGCCAACUACGUGCCAGCCGCCGCCGUAA
rnacentral:rRNA from 1 species